GGCUAGCUCAAUCGGUAGAGCGUGAGACUCUUAAUCUCAAGGUUGUGGGUUCGACCCGUAAGCGCUCA
rnacentral:tRNA from 1 species